rnacentral:rRNA from 1 species
AUGCAGAAAUUUCAUUGUCGUGCAGGAAUAGCCGAGGCAAAAUUCAUAGGCCACAUUAUCAUCACUGCCGUGAUGAAUGAGCUGAUGCAGAAAACAACAGGCUUGGAAAUGAACAUGACUCUUUGCUCGGGUACCACAACAGAGAUAUCUUAUUUUGAUAAAGAGAAGAGGGAAUGGAGAUAUCUAGUGGAUUUAGAAGCUAGAACUUGCAGUUGUAGGCAAUGGCAGAUAACUGGGUUGCCAUGCAUUCAUGCCUUGUUUUUCAUCUCUUCUCUCCCUGGUCCAGCAGGGAACAUUCAGCAGUAUGUGCAUGAUUACUACUCUGUUGCAAGGUUCAAAGCCACAUAUGCUUAUGCCUUGCCUGCUAUGGAGGGAAAACAACAAUGGGACAUGGUGGACCCUGGAUUCAAGCUUUGCGCUCUAGUUCUGAAAAGAGCAGCAGGUAGACCAAGGAAGAGUCGAAUCAGACCUUGCAGCGAAGGAGCUAGACUUGGAGCGAGGAAGCGUAAGUGCACAAGAUGUGGUGGGUCUGGUCAUUUCGGUAAGUAUUGUGAUAACACAGUAGAUCCAGCGUUCGGAGAGAGUUUCGAUGAAGGCUUCGAUGAAAAUGAUGGACAGUAG